UACGGGGGGGGCAAGCGUUGUUCGGAAUUACUGGGCGUAAAGGGCUCGUAGGUGGCCAACUAAGUCAGACGUGAAAUCCCUCGGCUUAACCGGGGAACUGCGUCUGAUACUGGAUGGCUGGAGUUUGGGAGAGGGAUGCGGAAUUCCAGGUGUAGCGGUGAAAUGCGUAGAUAUCAAGAGGAACACCUGAGGUGAAGACGGGUUGCUGGGCUGACACUGACGCUGAGGCGCGAAAGCUAGGGUAGCAAACGGG
rnacentral:rRNA from 1 species